GGGCGCUUAGCUCAGUUGGGAGAGCACCUGCCUUACAAGCAGGGGGUCACAGGUUCAAGCCCUGUAGCGCCCACCA
rnacentral:tRNA from 1 species